ensembl:ncRNA ZK381.49 ncRNA
UACAUUGGCUCCGUGAGCCAAAUAGGAACUGACCGGAAAUUGGAACGCUUUCUCCACACUCACAUACAUUUCCAAUAUCUUUCAACAUAUUCGGAAAUAUG